rnacentral:rRNA from 1 species
AUUGAACGCUGGCGGCAUGCUUUACACAUGCAAGUCGAACGGCAGCGCGGGCUUCGGCCUGGCGGCGAGUGGCGAACGGGUGAGUAAUACAUCGGAACGUGCCCAGUAGUGGGGGAUAGCUCGGCGAAAGCCGGAUUAAUACCGCAUACGACCUGAGGGUGAAAGCGGGGGAUCUUCGGACCUCGCGCUAUUGGAGCGGCCGGUGGCCGAUUAGCUAGUUGGUGGGGUAAAGGCCUACCAAGGCGACGAUCUGUAGCUGGUCUGAGAGGACGACCAGCCACACUGGGACUGAGACACGGCCCAGACUCCUACGGGAGGCAGCAGUGGGGAAUUUUGGACAAUGGGCGAAAGCCUGAUCCAGCAAUGCCGCGUGUGUGAUGAAGGCCUUCGGGCUGUAAAGCACUUUUGGCGGGAACGAAAAGGACUGUGCCAAUACCACGGUUCGAUGACGGUACCCGCAGAAUAAGCACCGGCUAACUACGUG